GGGGGUUUAGGAAGGUAUUUUCAAUGUGUUCUUAGUGAAAUUCAAAUGUUGCAGAUUGUAAAAUACAUUUUCGAUGUAACAGCAUACUAAUCAGCUACCAAUAUAUAUAUCUUUUUUUAUCAUUUAUAACUGUCUUGUAUAGGCUACACGAACCUGCAUGACAUGAGCCAUCCUCACGCUCUCUCCCAGCUUGGAUAGAAAAUUGUUGAGUGUAAAACCAGUCUAUUAAUGCCAAAUAAUACAGUCAGUCCACCCUCAAAACACAAAGAAUAGCUAGAUAGGACCAGUCGGCCAGCCGGUCAGAUAGGAGCAGUCGGCCAGAAAGAUAGGACCGGUCGGCCAUCCGGGGGGGGGGGCAAAACAACAAAAUUAAGAGGUAAUGACAGAUGGGGAUAGAGAAAAAUAUAGGAUAAAAUAAGAAUAAAUAGAGAUAUAGAGAGAGAAUGAGUGAGGAAGGAGUAAUGACAGAUGGAUAGAAGAGUAAGGAUUCAAAAACCUCAAACAGAACUGUCUUAUGGAGACUAGCAUCAUUGGGACAACGAUGCGCGUAAGGGUGUGUUGGAGUGUUUGAGGAGUAAUAUAGAUCAGGUACCUGGACAGGUAGUGUUUGAGGAGUGAUAUAGAGCAGGUACCUGGACAGGUAGUGUUUGAGGAGUGUUAUUUAGCAGGUACCUGGACAGGUAGUGUUUGAGGAGUGAUAUAUAGCAGGUACCUGGACAGGUAGUGUUUGAGGAGUGUUAUAUAGCAGGUACCUAGACAGGUGGUGUUUGAGGAGUGUUAUAGAGCAGGUACCUGGACAGGUAGUGUUUGAGGAGUGAUAUAUAGCAGGUACCUGGACAGGUAGUGUUUGAGGAGUGUUAUAUAGCAGGUACCUAGACAGGUGGUGUUUGAGGAGUGUUAUUUAGCAGGUACCUAGACAGGUAGUGUUUGAGGAGUGAUAUAUAGCAGGUACCUGGACAGGUAGUGUUUGAGGAGUGUUUUAUAGCAGGUACCUAGACAGGUAGUGUUUGAGGAGUGUUUAAGAGCAGGUACCUGGACAGGUGGUGUUUGAGGAGUGAUAUAUAGCAGGUACCUGGACAGGUAGUGUUUGAGGAGUGUUAUAUAGCAGGUACCUAGACAGGUGGUGUUUAAAGAGUGUUAUAGAGCAGGUACCUGGACAGGUAGUGUUUGAGGAGUGUUAUAGAGCAGGUACCUGGACAGGUAGUGUUUGAGGAGUGUUAUAGAG
rnacentral:lncRNA from 1 species